rnacentral:snoRNA from 1 species
AUUCAGUGAUGAGGGCACUUCCGUAAUAAUUUUUUGUACCUUUCCCAUACCUCACACAAGGACUCAUCAUCCAUUUGUUGGAAAGUAGUGAUCUCAUGCCUUAACUU